rnacentral:antisense_RNA from 27 species
GUUUAUGGCGGCUUUGCGUGGGGCACCUUCGGGUGCGCCGGUUGCUUGCGCUUGUUCCACACCGGUCUGCUAACCCGCGUCAAAGUCGCCACCCUU